AGUGAACGCUGGCGGUAGGCCUAACACAUGCAAGUCGAACGGCAGCACAGUAAGAGCUUGCUCUUACGGGUGGCGAGUGGCGGACGGGUGAGGAAUACAUCGGAAUCUACUUUUUCGUGGGGGAUAACGUAGGGAAACUUACGCUAAUACCGCAUACGACCUACGGGUGAAAGCAGGGGAUCUUCGGACCUUGCGCGAUUGAAUGAGCCGAUGUCGGAUUAGCUAGUUGGCGGGGUAAAGGCCCACCAAGGCGACGAUCCGUAGCUGGUCUGAGAGGAUGAUCAGCCACACUGGAACUGGGGCACGGUCCCGACUCCUAAGGGAAGCAAGCGUUGGGAAUUUUGGACCAUUGGGGCAAGCCUGGUCCAGCCAUACCGCGUGGGUGAAGAAGGCCUUCGGGUUGUAAAGCCCUUCUGUUGGGAAAGAAAAGCAGCAGGUUAAUACCCCGCUGUUCUGACGGUACCCAAAGAAUAAGCACCGGCUAACUUCGUG
rnacentral:rRNA from 1 species